rnacentral:rRNA from 1 species
GACGAACGCUGGCGGCGUGCUUAACACAUGCAAGUCGAACGGAAAGGCCCUGCUUUUGUGGGGUGCUCGAGUGGCGAACGGGUGAGUAACACGUGAGUAACCUGCCCUUGACUUUGGGAUAACUUCAGGAAACUGGGGCUAAUACCGGAUAGGAGCUCCUGCUGCAUGGUGGGGGUUGGAAAGUUUCGGCGGUUGGGGAUGGACUCGCGGCUUAUCAGCUUGUUGGUGGGGUAGUGGCUUACCAAGGCUUUGACGGGUAGCCGGCCUGAGAGGGUGACCGGCCACAUUGGGACUGAGAUACGGACCAGUCUCCUACGGGAGGCAGCAGUGGGGAAUAUGGCACAAUGGGCGGAAGCCUGAUGCAGCAACGCCGCGUGCGGGAUGACGGCCUUCGGGUUGUAAACCGCUUUCGCCUGUGACGAAGCGUGAGUGACGGUAAUGGGUAAAGAAGCACCGGCUAACUACGUG